AAUCAACGCUGGCGGCGUGCCUCAGACAUGCAAGUCGAACGAUUAAAGCUCUCUUCGGAGAGUGUAUAGAGUGGCGCACGGGUGAGUAACACGUAAGUAAUCUACCCUCGAGUGGGGAAUAACAACCGGAAACGGUUGCUAAUACCGCAUAAUGCAGCGGCACCGCAAGGUGACAGUUGUUAAAGAUUUAUCGCUUGAGGAGGAGCUUGCGGCAGAUUAGCUAGUUGGUAGGGUAACGGCUUACCAAGGCUACGAUCUGUAACCGGUCUAAGAGGACGGUCGGUCACACUGACACUGAAUAGCGGGUCAGACUCCUACGGGAGGCAGCAGUCGGAAUUUGGGCAAUGGGCGAAAGCCUGACCC
rnacentral:rRNA from 1 species